GCUUGGUGCCAACUGUGGUCCUCCGUGGGCAUCUUACUAGACAGUGCUGGAUUUGGGAUCUACUCUAACACUGUCUGGUAACGAUGUUCAAGGAAGGACCAAUCCUCUACGAGC